UACGUGGGGAGCAAGCGUUAUCCGGAUUUAUUGGGUGUAAAGGGUGCGUAGACGGGAUUACAAGUUGGUUGUGAAACCCCUCAGCUCAACUGAGGAACUGCAACCAAAACUAUAAUUCUUGAGUGCAGGAGAGGAAAGUGGAAUUCCUAGUGUAGCGGUGAAAUGCGUAGAUAUUAGGAAGAACACCGGUGGCGAAGGCGACUUUCUGGACUGUAACUGACGUUGAGGCACGAAAGUGUGGGGAGCAAACAGG
rnacentral:rRNA from 1 species